rnacentral:rRNA from 1 species
GGGUAAUCUGCCGUGAAGUUGGGGAUAACCCCGAGAAAUCGGGACUAAUACCGAAUGUGAUGAUUCCAGGGCAUCCUGGAAUCCUUAAAGCUGGGGACCGUAAGGCCUGGCGCUUCAUGAUGAGCCCGCGGCCUAUCAGCUAGUUGGCGGGGUAACGGCCCACCAAGGCAAUGACGGGUAGCUGGUCUGAGAGGACGACCAGCCACACUGGAACUGAGACACGGUCCAG